CGCGCGGCUCCGGGGUGUCCGCGGCUCGGGAUCCUUGGGAACCGGCCGCGGUGCCGAACCGGGCUCCGCCGCGUGCACUUUCCGCGGGCAGAGAGCCACAACCGGUUCGGGCGGGCGCGGCUGAUAUGCCGUGGAGGGUUGUAGGUGGGGGCGCUCGCGUCCCUACCAGCCCUCCCCACCGGCGAGCCGCCACCAGAC
rnacentral:rRNA from 1 species